AACGCUCAACAAUCGUGGCACAUAAUUCAGAGAAUAGAAAGGCAGUGCUAACUAACGAUUGUAUACCAUACGAGGAGUAUGGGGAAACACAGUCUCGGCAGAACACCAAUUUGUGCAGUCUUGCAGAUGGGACACCCGUAGUUAGAUGCUUCCCAGCAUUGGUCCUAUCAUACGUGAACACCAAUAUUGCUUUGCUACCCUCAAAUAUCUUCUCUUCCUUUUUGAGAACUCCCAUGAUCCCACAACCUGAAUGUACCGUACACACCUCCAAUCAUCACAUCUUUCAGUUAGUACCAGAUCGCAAAAGAAGUCCGUCCUAGCAUCUCUUCAGCUACUUACUGUACCAGCGAUAACGAGAACACGAUAACAAAAUAGUUUCAGAGAUCUUUGCCCAUAUCUUCAUGACCCUCCCAUGAUCUUACCUCCCUUUUCCCAUGAAUUUCCC
rnacentral:lncRNA from 1 species